rnacentral:rRNA from 1 species
AACGAACGCUGGCGGCAGGCUUAACACAUGCAAGUCGAACGGUUGUAGCAAUACAGCAGUGGCAGACGGGUGAGUAACACGUGGGAACCUUCCUAGGGGUACGGAACAACUCAGGGAAACUUGAGCUAAUACCGUAUACGUCCGUGAGGAGAAAGAUUUAUCGCCCUUAGACGGGCCCGCGUAGGAUUAGGUAGUUGGUGGGUAAUGGCCUACCAAGCCUACGAUCCUUAGCUGAUCUGAGAGGANGAUCAGCCACACUGGGACUGAGACACGGCCCAGACUCCUACGGGAGGCAGCAGUGGGGAAUCUUGGACAAUGGGCGCAAGCCUGAUCCAGCCAUGCCGCGUGAGUGAAGAA